rnacentral:rRNA from 1 species
UACGUAGGGUGCAAGCGUUGUCCGGAAUUAUUGGGCGUAAAGAGCUCGUAGGCGGUCUGUCGCGUCGGCUGUGAAAACUUGGGGCUCAACCCCAAGCCUGCAGUCGAUACGGGCAGACUAGAGUGCGGUAGGGGUGACUGGAAUUCCUGGUGUAGCGGUGGAAUGCGCAGAUAUCAGGAGGAACACCGAUGGCGAAGGCAGGUCUCUGGGCAUUAACUGACGCUGAGGAGCGAAAGCAUGGGGAGCGAACAGG